UACGGAGGGUGCAAGCGUUAUCCGGAUUCACUGGGUUUAAAGGGUGCGUAGGCGGGUUGGUAAGUCAGUGGUGAAAGCCCCAAGCUCAACUUGGGAACUGCCAUUGAUACUGCCAGUCUUGAGUGUGGUUGAAGUGGGCGGAAUAUGACAUGUAGCGGUGAAAUGCUUAGAUAUGUCAUAGAACACCGAUUGCGAAGGCAGCUCACUAAACCAUUACUGACGCUGAGGCACGAAAGCGUGGGUAGCGAACAGG
rnacentral:rRNA from 1 species